GCAGUCGUGACCGAGUGGUUAGGGCUAGAAAUCCAUUGUGGUCUCCCCACACAGGUUCGAAUCCUGUCGACCGCG
rnacentral:tRNA from 1 species